CAUCAGCAGCCUGAAUCUCCUGCCAGGCUACAGCAGCUUAAACACCCGGUGUCCUGGGUGUGAGAAAUCCUGUAGAACAGCGGUCCCCGACCCCCGGGCCGGUCCGUGAGUUGUUUGGUACCGGGCCACGAGAGUUGAGUGAUGACGGGGACGGAGAUGGGAAGGAGGACGGAGACAGGAAGAACGUUCCGGCCGGAACGUCAGAACACAGUUGCUUUUAUAUACCAAGUUUAUAUGCUGUUUAUUUAGCAUUUAACCUUCUGUUAGUUUGAGCCAGCCCGCCGAUAUCAUCCAAUUAGUAAGGUGGGCAGUAGUGUCGGAUGAGCGGCAAGCUUCUUCUAUACUCUGGGACAAUUUGGCAGCAACCCAGGUACCAAGACAGUUAUAGAAUUUACAUUUUUGACAGUGAGCAAACACUGGACAACAAUCAGCCAGCUGUUUACUUUCUUGUAAAGAAACUCACUAUAAA